UCAUCAGUCCGCAUUGAGCGAAAGUCUGAUGUAGCAACGGCGCCUGAAUGUAGAUGCCUUGAGGAGCGUAAUGCCCUCUCAUUAAGGGCCAAUGCAGGUAUAGUGAUUAACCAUAUGUAAUGCCGGUAGUUUAGAAGGAAUUCACGGCUAACUCCGUGCCAGCAGCCGCGUUAAUAAGUAGCUGGUAAGAGUUUUCCGGGAUUCAUGGGCUUAACAG
rnacentral:rRNA from 1 species